UAUCCGGGAACAUAUGUCAGUGAUGACUACUCUCAAAUGCUGGCAAAUCCAGGCUGGUGUUCUGUCUGGGCUCAGACAUCCACAUAACCCUGUCACCCACAGACCGCCCUCUAACUCAAAGACUUCCUCUGGCUCCCUAAGGCUGCAAAGCAAAACAGCCUGUGUUCAACUGCUGGAGGGUCUUUUUCUAGGGUCCCUGAAUGCCGUGGUGAGGCUGGUGAGGUCCUGGUCCCUAUCUGCCUGGAGGCAAAGGCCUAGACGGCUUGACUUGUGAGGCAGGAUUCUCUGCAGCCCAUUCCCAAGGGAGACUGACCGUCCAUCAUGCCCUCUCUCAGGAGCCCUGGCCCCGCUCCAACUCCUUCAUACUCCACUCCAAGUGCCCCACCACUCCCCAGCCCCUCUCCAGGCCUGCCAAGAGGGAGGAAGGGGCCCCAUGGCAGCUCCUGACCUUGGGUCCUGAAGUGACCUCACUGGCCUGCCAUGCCAGUAACUGUGCUUUACUGAGCACUGAACCACAUUCAGGGAAAUGGCUUGUUGAACUUCGAAGCAACUGUGAAUUCAUCCUGGAGGGGCGGUGGAGAUCAAGAGUGACAGAUCACAGGGUGAGGACCACCUCCACACCCAUCCCCUCUGGAGAAGGCCUGGAAGAGCUGAGACCUUGCUUUGAGACUCCUCAGCACCCCUCCAGUUUUGCCUGAGAAGGGGCAGAUAUUCCCGGAGGAGAACACCUCUCCCCCUGUCUGCCUCACCUGGUCGCCAAUCCAUGCUCUCUUUCUUUUCUCUGUAUACUCUUUAUCCCUUGGUUUAGAGGAACCCAAGAUGUGGCCUUUAGCAAGACUGGCCAAUGUCCAAACCCACUCAUGACUGCAUGACAGAGCCCAGCCAUGUGCCUUUAGACCUCGCUGUUGUCACAUCUCAGGGAAUCGAACCUCAGGCACACCUUGCAGAAGGCAAGGCCCUGCCCUGCCCAACCUCUGUGAUCAACUGUGCAUCUUCUACUGGAACGUUUCACUGCAAACACACGUUGGAGAAGUGGCAUCAGUCAACAGAGAGGAGCAGUGAAGGAGACAUCCAGCUCACCCUUCAUCAUGGACCGAGGUUCCCUCUCUGGGCAAAGUCCCUCAGACUGCAAGGGAUUGUAGAUAACACUGACUUUUUUGUUUUAACCAAUAACUAGUUUCUUAUAAUGAUUUUUUUACUAAUGAUACUUACAAGUUUCUAGCUCUCACAGACAUAUAGAAUAAGGGUUUUUGCAUAAUAAGCAGGUUGCUAUUUAGGUUAACAAUAUUACUUCAGGUUUUUUAGUUGGAAAAACAAUUCCUGUAACCUUCUAUUUUCUAUAAUUGUAGUAAUUGCUCUACAGAUUAUGACUGUAUAUUGGCCACACUGGUGCAUGACAAGUACUGUAUUUUUUUAUACCUAAAUAAAGAAAAAUCUUCAGCCUGGGCAA